CCUCGAGACCAGGCCGAUUAUCGAGGCUAUACGGUUGCAGUUGCGGUUGCUGCUAUUUAAAACUAGUUCCGAGUACAUCUCUCUCAUAGCAUGCAGCUCUGUGUGCAGAUUAUAGACGAUUCCUAAAGAGAUUAAGGCUGAACAGCAAAGUGAUGGACAAAGCUAUCCCAAAAUCAGCUCCAAACUGCCCACUCUUAAUGCCGAGAGUGAGCUUAUGAUCUAUGCAUCACAGGACGGACGAAGUGAGGGACAAGGCUCCAAGUCCAAACUGUCCACUCUUAAUGAGAGAUGGACGAAGCGAGGGACAAGGCUCCCCUACUCAUCUUAAAUGGUAGUGAGCUUAUGGUGCCGAAUGGACAAAGCGAGGGACAAAGCUCUCCCAAACCAAAUGACUGUGCAUGCACUGUUUGCAGCUGCAUAUUGUACCAGCAUUGCACAUGGACUAGAUCCAUGUUCCCUUGUUUACGACCAGCACCACUUGUACAAGUGUUUCACUAUACAAAAACAAUGGAUCUCGUUACUGUCUUCCGAACAAAAAGACCAGGACCUGCACGCACUUUGAAAAUCCCUGUCUAUUGCUACUGUCGAUGUGCAGAUGAUGGCCAAGGAAUGGUAGGCUGUGACGGAUGUGAAGAUUGGUAGAUGCAUUGACGCCGCCAAAGUAAAAAAGGUAUUGCACCAAGUGUCGAUAAAGUAGUUAGAAUCAAUGACUUUAUAGUCAACAAGUAUAGUCUUUAUAAUUAUUGUA